rfam:Egretta garzetta contig51944, whole genome shotgun sequence.
CCAAAGGCUCUUCUAAGAGCCACCCAUCUUAUCUGAAAAAGAGCUGU